AACGCGAAGCUCUUGAUCGAAGCCCCGGUAAACGGCGGCCGUAACUAUAACGGUCCUAAGGUAGCGAAAUUCCUUGUCGGGUAAGUUCCGACCUGCACGAAUGGCGUAAUGAUGGCCAGGCUGUCUCCACCCGAGACUCAGUGAAAUUGAACUCGCUGUGAAGAUGCAGUGUACCCGCGGCAAGACGGAAAGACCCCGUGAACCUUUACUAUAGCUUGACACUGAACACUGGUCCUUGAUGUGUAGGAUAGGUGGGAGGCUUUGAAGCGUGGACGCCAGUCUGCGUGGAGCCAACCUUGAAAUACCACCCUUUAAUGGCUGGUGUUCUAACGUAGACCCGUAAUCCGGGUUGCGGACAGUGUCUGGUGGGUAGUUUGACUGGGGCGGUCUCCUCCCAAAGAGUAACGGAGGAGCACGAAGGUUAGCUAAUCCUGGUCGGACAUCAGGAGGUUAGUGCAAUGGCAUAAGCUAGCUUGACUGCGAGAGUGACGGCUCGAGCAGGUGCGAAAGCAGGUCAUAGUGAUCCGGUGGUUCUGAAUGGAAGGGCCAUCGCUCAACGGAUAAAAGGUACUCCGGGGAUAACAGGCUGAUACCGCCCAAGAGUUCAUAUCGACGGCGGUGUUUGGCACCUCGAUGUCGGCUCAUCACAUCCUGGGGCUGAAGUAGGUCCCAAGGGUAUGGCUGUUCGCCAUUUAAAGUGGUACGCGAGCUGGGUUUAGAACGUCGUGAGACAGUUCGGUCCCUAUCUGCCGUGGGCGCUGGAGAAUUGAGGGGGGCUGCUCCUAGUACGAGAGGACCGGAGUGGACGCAUCACUGGUGUUCGGGUUGUCAUGCCAAUGGCACUGCCCGGUAGCUAAAUGCGGAAGAGAUAAGUGCUGAAAGCAUCUAAGCACGAAACUUGCCCCGAGAUGAGUUCUCCCUGAGACUUUAAGUCUCCUGAAGGAACGUUGAAGACUACGACGUUGAUAGGUCGGGUGUGUAAGCGCAGCGAUGCGUUGAGCUAACCGAUACUAAUGAACCGUGAGGCUUAACCUUACAACGCCGAAG
rnacentral:rRNA from 1 species